CCUUUAACCUAUUCCUUCCAGCCCAUGGUAAAUGGUGGAGAAAUCUGCCUGGUAUUUCAAGGGAGGGAGAAGUGAGAGACAUCUGCACCUGAAUUGAAAUAACAACACUUGCCCUCCGUUUCUUUCUGGUCUGUAUCUGUGGCUACGAAGAAAUGACACCCAUAGAAGUCCAAAGGAAAGGAUUACAGCAGAAUUGAAGCCAAUCCUGAUUCAGAGGAUCAAAGCCAUAUUUUCUCUGUGUGGCUGAAGAAGUGUGAGGUAGCAUGGCUAAGUAUCA